rnacentral:rRNA from 1 species
AGAGUUUGAUCCUGGCUCAGGACGAACGCUGGCGGCGUGCUUAACACAUGCAAGUCGAACGGAAAGGCCCUUCGGGGUACUCGAGUGGCGAACGGGUGAGUAACACGUGGGUGAUCUGCCCUGCACUUUGGGAUAAGCCUGGGAAACUGGGUCUAAUACCGAAUAUGACCAUGCACUUCCUGGUGUGUGGUGGAAAGCUUUUGCGGUGUGGGAUGGGCCCGCGGCCUAUCAGCUUGUUGGUGGGGUAAUGGCCCACCAAGGCGACGACGGGUAGCCGGCCUGAGAGGGUGACCGGCCACACUGGGACUGAGAUACGGCCCAGACUCCUACGGGAGGCAGCAGUGGGGAAUAUUGCACAAUGGGCGCAAGCCUGAUGCAGCGACGCCGCGUGAGGGAUGACGGCCUUCGGGUUGUAAACCUCUUUCAGCACAGACGAAGCGCAAGUGACGGUAUGUGCAGAAGAAGGACCGGCCAACUACGUGCCAGCAGCCGCGGUAAUACGUAGGGUCCGAGCGUUGUCCGGAAUUACUGGGCGUAAAGAGCUCGUAGGUGGUUUGUCGCGUUGUUCGUGAAAACUCACAGCUUAACUGUGGGCGUGCGGGCGAUACGGGCAGACUUGAGUACUGCAGGGGAGACUGGAAUUCCUGGUGUAGCGGUGGAAUGCGCAGAUAUCAGGAGGAACACCGGUGGCGAAGGCGGGUCUCUGGGCAGUAACUGACGCUGAGGAGCGAAAGCGUGGGGAGCGAACAGGAUUAGAUACCCUGGUAGUCC